GUCUUUAUUGUCUAAUGGUUAAGACAUUACCCUUUCACGGUAAAUAUACGAGUUCGAAUCUCGUUAAAGAUA
rnacentral:tRNA from 1 species